rnacentral:rRNA from 1 species
CACGUAGGCGGCCCAUCAAGCGUCUUGUGAAAUCCCUCGGCUCAACCGAGGAAUUGCUUGGCGAACUGAUGGACUUGAGGCAGGUAGGGGCGAGUGGAACUUUUGGUGGAGCGGUGGAAUGCGUAGAUAUCAAGAGGAACGCCAGAGGCGAAGGCGACUCGCUGGGCCUGUCCUGACGCUGAGGUGCGAAAGCUAGGGGAGCGAACAGGAUUAGAUACCCUGGUAGUCC